AGGUUUGGUCCCAGCCUUCUUAUUAGUUUAUAGCAAGAUUACACAUGCAAGCAUCUACGACCCUGUGAGAAUGCCCUCUACGUCAAACAGACUUAAAGGAGCAGGUAUCAAGCACACAUCACCGUAGCUCAAAACACCUUGCUAAACCACACCCCCACGGGUUACAGCAGUGAUUAAAAUUAAAAUAUAAACGAAAGUUUGACUAAGCUAUGCUAUAAUCUAGGGUUGGUAAAUUUCGUGCCAGCCACCGCGGUCAUACGAUUAACCCAAAUUAAUAAGUUUCGGCGUAAAGGGUGUUUUAGAUUAUUCCUACAAUAAGGUUNNNNNNNNNNNNNNNNNNNNNNNNNNNNNNNNNNNGAAAAAAUAACAUACGAAAGUCACCUUACUAAAAUCUGAAUACACGAUAGCUAAGACCCAAACUGGGAUUAGAUACCCCACUAUGCUUAGCCCUAAACAUAAACCCUUACUAACGCAACCGUUCGCCAGAGUACUACAAGCCACAGCUCAAAACUCAAAGGACUUGGCGGUGCUUUAUAUCCCUCUAGAGGAGCCUGUUCUAUAAUCGAUAAACCCCGAUAAACCUCACCACUUCUUGCUACCACAGCUUAUAUACCGCCAUCUUCAGCAAACCUUAACAAGGAAUCAAAGUAAGCCCAAGUAUUAACAUAAAAACGUUAGGUCAAGGUGUAGCCUAUGAAGUGGAAAGAAAUGGGCUACAUUUCCUUUCCCAAGUACAUUCACGUCAACUUUUAUGAAACCUAAAAGUAAAAGGCGGAUUUAGUAGUAAGCUAAGAAUAGAGAGCCUAGCUGAAUAGGGCCAUGAAGCACGCACACACCGCCCGUCACCCUCCUCAAGCAUGAAUAUAAUUUAUCUAUAAUUAAAUCUCUGCACUUUGCAAGAGGAGAUAAGUCGUAACAUGGUAAGCAUACUGGAAAGUGUGCUUGGAGUAAU
rnacentral:ncRNA from 1 species